AAAAAAAAUUAAAAAAAUUCAUCAUUUUUAAUCUGCAAAAAAAAAAAUUAGUUAUAAUAUUAUUAUUAUUAUGGCAAUGAGUCUGCCACACCAGAUCGGUGCCUUAUCAGGAACAUCGCUCACGGCGGAAACCGGUGGAGUUUCAUGCGAAGUUCCGGCGAAGGGGAGUUCAGCUACAUCAGCUAUGUGGAGAACACCGAUGACGAAUUUAAAAGUAUCGGUGCAAAAAACAGGAAAUGAAAUUGACAGGGUGUCGCCGUCGCCGUCGCCGCCGAUGAGUCCGAUGAUGGGAGGAGGAAUGCGACCGGAUUUAUCGGUAGCGUGUCAAGCGUUGAUGGAGGCUCAGGUAGAGGAGGUAGUUGAGAGAGAAUAUAAGGUUAGGAAUUCGUCGGAGAAAGAGAAAGGUGUUCCGGUGUUUGUUAUGAUGCCGUUGGAUAGUGUGAAAACGGAUCAUACUGUGAAUAGAAAAAAGGCGAUGAAUGCGAGUUUACAGGCGUUGAAAAGCGCCGGUGUGGAAGGGAUUAUGAUGGAUGUGUGGUGGGGAUUGGUGGAGAGAGAUGCACCGGGAGAGUAUAAUUGGGGCGGUUAUGCUGAGCUUAUGGAAAUGGCGAAAAAACAUGGACUCAAAGUUCAAGCUGUGAUGUCUUUCCAUCAAUGCGGUGGUAACGUCGGUGAUUCCUGCACGAUCCCUCUUCCGAGGUGGGUUGUUGAGGAGAUGGAGAAGGAUCCAGAUCUUGCAUACACAGAU
rnacentral:misc_RNA from 1 species